UACGGGGGGGUAAGCGUUGUUCGGAAUUACUGGGCGUAAAGGGCUCGUAGGCGGCCAACUAAGUCAGACGUGAAAUCCCUCAGCUUAACUGGGGAACUGCGUCUGAUACUGGAUGGCUUGGAUUCGGGAGAGGAAUGGCGGAAUUCCAGGUGUAGCGGUGAAAUGCGUAGAUAUCUGGAGGAACACCGGUGGCGAAGGCGGCAUUCGUGGACCGAUAUGACGCUGAGGAGCGAAAGCCAGGGGAGCAACG
rnacentral:rRNA from 1 species